UUACGUCCAUAUCAUGUUGAAACACCUGUUCCCGUACAAUCACCGAAGUUAAGCAAUGUCGAGCCAGGUCAAUAACUAGAAGGGUAACUCCUUGGGAAUGCCAGAUUCUGCA